GAUGAAGAACGUAGCGAAAUGCGAUACUUGGUGUGAAUUGCAGAAUCCCGUGAACCAUCGAGUCUUUGAACGCAAGUUGCGCCCGAAGCCAUCAGGUUGAGGGCACGUCUGCCUGGGCGUCACAUAUCGUUGCUCGAUGCCUAUCGCAUUGCGAUAGGACUUAGGGCGAAUGAUGGCUUCCCGUGAGCGUUGUUGCCUCGCGGUUGGUUGAAAAUCGAGUGCAUGGUGUCGGGUGUACCAAGAUGGAUGGUGGUUGAGUGAUGAUGCUCGAGACCAAUCAUGGGUAACUCCACCAGAAUUGGGCUCGGUGACCCACAUGCGUCCCUUGGAUGCUCCCUAAGGAGACCUCAGGUCAGGCGGGGCUACCCGCUGAGUUUAAGCAUAUCAAUAAGCGGAGGA
rnacentral:misc_RNA from 1 species